UCGCGUGAAUGGCUCUUGAUCUGUAACAGAGGUCUCUCACACCACACAUUGGUAGCCCUGAAGUAGGAAACAGCAGUCUCCACGAAACAUGAAAGCGAGUUUCCUGUGAUGUCACCAACAUGCAAUCAGGCUACAAAUCAGGGGUGCCACGAUGUAACAAUUUAGGUGGGCUCCAGGAUUCAAAAUUAGAAAACUCCUACGAUAUCUACCCCACUCUGCCUCGUUACAUCAGAUACAGGUACAGCUGCAUAUUUUGCAUCUGAAAAUUGUUGUGCAUAACUGUGGAUGAUGCAGAUAACCUUUAAUCCUUACCUGCAACUGGAACUACAGCAGUCUUCUGACAUCCCAGCACAGCAUCUGAGUGAACACCUUCCAGGUUUCUGUGAAAAGUAUAACAAUGGACAUUGUAGGAACAUAGGAUAUCAGGACAGGCAAGAACUAUGUGAGAGUGCUGCAAUCUAGGAGUCAACUUGUCCAAAUUUUGAAACAAUAUUUCUGUCAGAAUAGACAGACUUACACUCUGCGGUGUAAAAUAUCAGCUACCUGAAUCAAUGAAGUUAAAAUAAAAAAAAUGAAACAUUUACUUUCACUAAAAAUUAACACAUUUAUAUUCCAUAUACAUAAAAAAUUCUUAAUGCAAAAUCUGGAGAAAUGACAUGCAUUUCCUGUAGGAAUGAAUACAUUUAUACUCAACUUAGAGAAUAUAUACUUGUAAGUCUUACAAGUUGACAACUUUAGUGCAAAUAAAUACAAAUAUCCGUACAUUAAAUUGCACGGAACGUGUAUCCAAAAAGAACUGUAAUUCAUGAAC